rnacentral:ncRNA from 3 species
UACGUAGGGGGCGAGCGUUGUCCGGAAUUAUUGGGCGUAAAGAGCGUGUAGGCGGUUCGGUAAGUCUGCUGUGAAAUCCUGGGGCUCAACCCUGGGCGUGCAGCGGAUACUGCCGGGCUAGAGGGUGGUAGAGGCGAGUGGAAUUCCGAGUGUAGCGGUGAAAUGCGCAGAUAUUCGGAGGAACACCAGUAGCGAAGGCGGCUCGCUGGGCCACACCUGACGCUGAGACGCGAAAGCGUGGGGAGCGAACAGG